UUAUACUUACAUUUACACUUUGAGACGCUGCGGCGUUCCAGACUGAUAGCAAAGACUUCCAUAGUUUAACUUAAAUGGAAAUCCUAACAGCAUGCCCAAUAAGGUUUAUGGCUUGUAACCUACCUAAAUGAAUAUCUCGCCGUAUGUUCUCGUCUGGAGAGAUUCCGUGUGGUUGGGAGCUUAAAGCCGCACCCUCUGAGGUCUGAUGCUCUUAGCGGACUUAUAUGGAGGUGAAUGCAUGACCACAAAGCGGUGAUUCUUGAGCCAUCCGGUUGGAGGCGACUGGCAAUCGCCCGGUACUUCCCUCGUAGAGUGGGGAGGAUCCGAUUUAAUUAUGCUUUAACAUUAGUAACCUCACUUUGAGAUGAUGCCGAAAAGGCUCUAUAACAAUAUUAAUAUCUCGCCGUUUGUGCUCGUCUGGAGAGAUUCCGUGUGGUUGGGAGCUUAUAGCCGCACCCUCUGAUGUCUAGUGUUCUGAGCGAUCUCGUAUGGAGGUGAAUGCAUGACCACAAAGCGGUGAUCCUUGAGUCAUCCGGUUGGAGGCGACUAGCAAUCGCCCGGUACUUCCCUCGUAGAGUGGGGGAGGAUCCGAUUUAAUUGUGCUUUAACAUUAGUAAUAACUUAGAGAUGAUGCCGAAAAGGCUCUAUAACAAUUACGAAUUUGUUUGUGCACUUGCUUAUUGUACCAAAUCAAAAUCUGGAACGUCGCGUUACUCUUUUACUAUUUUUAGCACCCUUAGGACUAAUAUAAAGCUUUGGCUCUAACUUAUAUUCACGAGAUUGAACUUGUACUAAAUUAUUGUUCUAAUCUUGACCAAGAUAACCAUCCAGUAUCAGUUCUAUAAGUCUUGGUAGCCUACUCACUGGCAUUGCGACAGCAAUGUCAUAGAUUCAUUUAUAAUUAACAGGAGCAGUCUCUCUGACGUGAUACGAUAAGGAAUUUGCCGCCAUCUAGGAAUGUUGUCUUGGAAGACCACAGUCCGUAUAACACAGAACAUUACAAGGUAUGUCAUGAUGCUGUUAUCUUUCGUUUCCUUCCGACAUAUGAUAAACUUAUUAAAACCCUUACUCAUAAAUGCGAAGCAGAUUUAGACAUAGUUAAUUUUGUUCUCAUAUCAAGAGAUAACCGACACUUACAGACAUUGAACAUACCUAAUUUUAUAUUUUUAUUAGGUGCGACAUCAUCGCACGUGAUAUUUUACCUUUUCGCCACUAAACCCCCAAACGGGCGAAAACAUGGUGGAGAUGCUGGGAUUGAUCCCAUAAUAAAAAAUUAAAUUAUUGUCGGAAGGAAAAUGAAUGGCAUCGUUGACAUAUACCUAAACAAAAACAAAUCAUUGCUAAAAAGGAAAAAAAAUUUUUUUUUGGUAUUUGUUUAUUAUCAUCCAGGAAAACCCUCGCUUACUCGAAACCUAUAAAACUCUUAUACAAUGUGGUGUUACUUGAAAGAACUGUAAUUACUUCUACGUUGUCUACAAAAGGAAAGUAAGAAUUUACUUUAAAACAUCGAGACUUCCUAGUAGACUGUCUGGAAUAAAUUGCAAUUAAUAUUGUUAAAUUACCGUCAUGUAUGUGUUGUGUGUCAAAUUCACCAUUAAUAAUAAUACGCGUCUACAUAUGGCGCGCAUGAUGAAUAACAAUGGAAAUUAUAAAAGUCCUGAUAAAUAAUAUUCAAUGUUACAUUAUGUAUGUUAAAUUUCAUGAAGUUAGGAAUUUUAGGUAGGUAAAAUUAUAAUUGAAUUUGUCAAUUUAGUUAAGGUACAAAGUAUUUUUUCGCUUAAGCUUCGCGUUUUAGAUUCAAUAUGUAAAUACUUUACUUCGAAAGAUUUUUAAAGAAUAAUACUAGUAUAAUUUAUCCGUUUGAAUUUUAGGUUACAGGUAGGGUGAUAACCAUGAACCACAUAACUUUUACCAAAAUUGUAAUGGUUCAGAAAACAUUCUAUUGACCGGAAAUGCUCGAUCAAAAUGCGCACUAGGGAUGUGCUUGUGGGCGUUUUGCAUUUAUGACCGAAUUUAGACUAUGUUAUAAUCGAAAAGUUUUGACGAUCGCAUUAAAUUUUUAAAUAUGUAGAUUGGACAGACAAAAUAGCAUUUGUUUUUAAAAAAAAAUCUGUUAAUUAGUAAUGCAACAAUGUCGUAAUACUUGAUUCAAGCGAAGAAAUCUAUUAAAAUAUCUUAGGUAUGACUUAAUAGGAACAGGAAUGAAAAACCUCAUAUAUUAUAAUUAUAUACCAAAAUUGAAUUUUCUCUUUCUAUUUCCUUAUAUGACUGUUGUGUAAUAAUUCUAACGGUUUGUUAGCUUAUAUUUACGCAUUCCUUUCUAAAACAAUAUUUUCUUCCACUACUAUAUGGAGCAAUAUUUUCAUAUUUUAACGCAAGCGUAACCGUAAAGUUUCUUUGUUUUAUAAAUAUAUAUAAAAAAAAAAAAAUGGGGUGGAAUUUAUUGUUAUAUAGUCAUGAUAUAAAAUAGAAAGGGUGAAAAUUUAAAUUAACUGUGUGGACAACAUUCACAAGUAAUGUUUUGUGUAAAGGGAAAGUAUCCUUAGAUGAGAGAUAAAGUAAUUAUAUUUUUUUCAUAUUCACGAAAAACAAUUCGAUCAUUAUACGAUUAUCGAUUUUCGAUUUUAUUUAUUUACAAACUAGUGCCACAUCUCUAAAACCGCGCGCUUACGCAGCUCGCUUGAAGCGGCCAUUUUGUGCGGUUUUGUGUUUCGAUGUGCCUAGUAAAUCGAAAAGUUUGCAAUAAUAAUUAUUGUAGUGCCUGCGUGACGGUAUAUGUGAACAGGAUCCAUAGAAACUUUUGGGUACUUACAAGAGCAGUCUCUCUGACGUGAUACGAUAAGGAAUUUGCCGCCAUCUAGGAAUGUUGUCUUGGAAGACCACAGUCCGUAUAACACAGAACAUUACAAGGUGCGACAUCAUCGCACGUGAUAUUUUACCUUUUCGCCACUAAACCCCCAAACGGGCGAAAACAAAUGCAAUUACGAACACUAUUACUUCAGAGAAAGAUAUAAAAUCACCUAUAAUUACUUAUUAUUAACCACUUAUCAGUUGAUAACAUGGUCCACAAUAUUGAUAUAA